GCGAACGCUGGCGGCAGGCUUAACACAUGCAAGUCGAGCGCCCCGCAAGGGGAGCGGCAGACGGGAGAGUAACACGUGGGAACGUCCCCUUCGGUUCGGAACGACACAGGGAAACUUGUGCUAAUACCGGAUACGUCCGUAAGGAGAAAGAUUCAUCGCCGAAGGAUCGGCCCGCGUCUGAUUAGCUAGUUGGUGGGGUAAUGGCCCACCAAGGCGACGAUCAGUAGAUGGUCUGAGAGGAUGAUCAGCCUCACUAGGACUGAGACACGGCCCAGACUCCUACGGGAGGCAGCAGUGGGGAAUAUUGGACAAUGGGCGCAAGCCUGAUCCAGCCAUGCCGCGUGAGUGAUGAAGGCCUUAGGGUUGUAAAGCUCUUUCGUCAGGGAAGAUAAUGACGGUACCUGAAGAAGAAGCCCCGGCUAACUUCGU
rnacentral:rRNA from 1 species